UUUUUUUUUUUUUUUAGGUGUAUCCCGCAGGGAAUGGACCCCGCAGACUAUUCACCACCCUCAACAACUUGCUGGCAGCAAGGUUCGAACCAGGAACCUGAAGUUCCAUCUUCAGCAACCUUAACCACUAGACCAAGCCCCUAAGGGCACAUUUGAGUGUACAUCACGUUAAGUGAUAAGUGAAUAGUUUAUCACUUAUUUUCGGAAGCAAGUUUUGUCCAGAAAAUUCAGUGCUACUUAAUUAAUUCAGAUAUUCAAUUUUUUGUAUCAAACGCAUCUAAACAUGUUAAGAUCUGAAUCUAUUAAGUUUACAUAUUAAAUUAGAUUAUCAAACAGGGUCUAAGAUCCAUUGUGGCACCUAAUUGGUUUAAGCGAUUACAUCCGGGUUUGCCUCCCGGCAAGCAAAAUCCUUUUUCUUUUUAUUAACAAUUUGACUCCUUUUUUUUUUUUGUCCAAGGAAAACCAAUUAUUGUAAAAUCGUCUUUUAAUCUUCACAUGAACGCUCAAUGUUUGAAAUAUCAGAAUUGAGUAGAGGUAAAAUUUUGGGUUUAAUAAGUCAGGGAAGCAAAUUACAACUGAUUUGUUGAGAUAUUUUUAUAAAUUGACCCUUUUUUAAUGCUCAAAAUUUAACCAAGUUAGUUGAGUUCAACUUCAAGUCUUGCAGCAUGUUGAAGCCCUAAUAGAAAAAAAUAAAAUAAUAUCAAGUUUCAAUAGUACUUGCAAUAGCGUAUAAGCUUUUAAUUUGCAAGUACUAAUUAUUUAGUGCUUAAGCAAUAUACUUUUCAAGAUUUAUUUUUUUUCUGGUUAAAUCAUGAAUUUGCAAAAAUACUAAACUGAGAAAGAAAAAACAGUAUCCAAAAAUUGUAUAGAUUUUCAGAACAAAUGUGACCAUAUCCUAAAUUUUAUAUGUAUGACAAAAAAGAACAGAAAAUUGAAAACCUAAAGCUCUUUUUCUUGUACUAAUUAUGAGACAAAUGGUUUAUUCUUCUGCUGAUAUGAUGUUGCUAAUUGCAAUAAUUGUUUUCUGAAAUUCUCAAGCUGCAAAACUCAGUCAAAGUGCGACCUGAAUUUCCCAUCUGUACAAAUAUUUGAAAUCCUGUUUGAUAACCCAAUUCAACACUUAAAUUUAAUAGAUUUAGAUUGUAACAUAUUCAAAUCGUUUGAUAAUAAAAAAUUGAACAUCGGAAUUAAUUAAGUGGCACUGAAUUUCCCAGGCAAACUUGCUCCCAAAAUUAAGUGAUAAACUAUUCACUUAUCACUGAAUAUGAUAUACACUCAAAUAUAUUAGAUUUAAUACGUAACAAUUCAAUAACUUAAUGGAUUCAAAUUUCAGAUUUCAGAUUUCAAACUUCAGUUUUAUCAAAUGCAUAUAUAUUGCUGGAAUAAACAAUCAAAAAUGACCAUAAAGAUCAUUGAUCUGUUUAGCUUAGAUAUUCAAAAGUAUGUGUAAAUUUGCAGUGUUGAUUGUUAAAUCCUUAAUCAUCACAUUUAAUACCAGACGGAUGCUGAGCCGUUUCAUGCCAUGUCCUUUUCUAACUACCUCUGCAAUACAAUGUCCAACAAAAUUCAUAUCCUUUUCAACAAUAGUCCAGGCAAUACAAUAAGAUGUAAGUCAUGCAUUUGUUUCUAGAAAUGGAUAGUCAGUAUAACCCACGACUGGAUCAGGUAUAUAGAAUGUAGCUCGAUUAUACUUGUUCAGGGGAGCAUUUAACUCAAAUCUCUUGGGUAAAUCAGGAUUGGCUAAGAAUAUACGCCCAUAUGCAAUAAGAUCAGCAUGAUUUUCUGCCACAGCUUUGUUUCCAUCUUCCCUUUGAUAACCACCAGCAGCAAUGAAAGUACCUUUGAAUGCCUUUCUCAUUGGCAGAAGACUAUCGGCACAUUCAAAUUUUUCUCCAACUUUUAUCAUCCUUGGCUCAACCACGUGCAAGUACAGAAUUCCAUACUUAUUCAAGGCUUCAGCCAUAUGCAGACCUAGUGCUUUCGGUUUUGAAUCGCUUGCUCCAUUGUAAUUCGCAAAGGGCGAAAGUCUUAUACCAACUCUAUCGGCUCCUAUUGCAUCUGACACGGCUUCAACUAUUUCCAAAGCAAAUCUGCAGCGGUUCUCCAAAGAUCCUCCAUAUUCAUCUGUUCUGUCAUUGACUUGGUCCUUCGAAAACUGGUCUAUUAGAUAACCGUGAGCUCCAUGGAUUUCAACCCCAUCAAAUCCUGCAGAAUAAACUUAAUAUGGAUAGGGCAAAACAUGAUCUUCUGAUAACUUUAAGGUUGCUCUCUCAUCUUCUUUGCAACAUUGGUAGAAUGAAUGAUUUAGCCAUUUAGGAAAUAAAUUGUAAUCUUAACAAAAGAAAUGCAGAUAAGGCACUCGCAAAUCAGAAGAUUAUUUUGUAGCAGUUUCCAGUAUGUUACUAGCUCAAAUUUAUCCUACUUGCUGAAAAUUAAGUUAAAGUUCCUAAUGAACAAGUCUUUUUUUGUUUUCAUUUACGCUUCUACCUGCGCUGAAUAAGAAAAGUAUACAGAAGAGCAAGAACUCAAGAACAAUGUCAUUCUUUAACCAGGAUUCCAUCUUUAUCUCCAAAAGAUAGAUUUUAAUUUUUCAGUUCUUCAACGUGUUCUGCAUAUACUGAAAGUCUUACCAGCUUCAAUAGCACUCAGAGCAGCAAGCCUAAAAUCAUUGACAACCUGAGGAAUUUCUUCUGUCCUUAACCUUCGAGGAGGUGAAAAUUCUGCAACAUCAAUACCAUUUGUUCGAACUUGGGGAGCUAACAGCUUGUCUGUAGAUGAUAUUGGAGCUUGUCCGUUGGGUUGAAAAUCUGCAAAUGGAAGUUAAUUAAAUCAACUUCAAAGGAAUAGAAGUCUAGCACUCAAAGAGUGAACAGGAACUAGUGCCUCCAAUAACACAUUAGACUGAAACAAGAAAUCUCAAUUGCCAUAAGCAAUCCUCAGAUUUAUAUCCAUGCUUGAUUCCAGAUGAAAUUUUAAGGUGUAAAUGCAUCAUUCAGAGUGGCCUUGCCAAAUGAAUUAGUUUACAGCAGUUGUAUUCCUGUUGAAUAUAUGGUAAAUCUUGGUCCACAACUAGCAUGUCUAAGAUAGCACACUUAACCAAAAAAAAAAAGUAAUCAGAGAGAAAAUUACCAUUGUUUGAAACCCGUCCACCAUGCCAAAGUUGGCAGAAAAAUAUACCACCUUUGGCAUGAACUGCGUCUACUAUUGGUUUCCAAGCCUCAUUUUGUUCCUUAGUCCAUAUUCCAGGUGUCAUUGGAUAGCUUUAUAUAUAAGGAAAAGUUCAACACUUGGUAGAAAUGGCCAAAAUAACAAACAUAGGGUGAAUGCUUGAAAUAUUUAGAUCAAUGGAAAACAAGGAAUGCUAAUAGAAUUACCCUCGGCCUGUGUCAGAGACUACAGUGGCUUCUGCUAUGAGCAAACCUCCUUUCGUGGUUCUCUGAGAGUAGUACAAAAUAGCAUGAGGCUGUGGAAUAUCGUUGUAAGAUCUCUGUCUUGUCAAAGGUGCCAAAACAAUUCUGCAUGGAAUUAAUAUUAGAUGGUGCAAAAUUUAGCCCUGAAACUCUUUCUGAUGUAGGGGUUAGAGAUGGAAUCUCAAAAUUGAUCAGUUAAAGUUGUGGUAAUUCUGAUAAGAAAGAUGCAAUAUCAUACAAACUUCAGUUACAAUUUUUUUUUUUCAAUUGAGUUGUUGCCUCCAAAGAGGAAAGGAGAAUUCUAAGUUCAGUCUCAUUCGAAAUAGUAAAUCUUGUGAUAUGGAAGAUUUCUUCACUGAGCUUAUAAGUCCAGUCCUAUUUCUAUUUAAGGAGGACAGAAGAAGAGUUCAUAGUCUAAAUGCAGAGCAAACUUCUUCUUAUGCAAAAUGCGAAGUAGGGUGCUUACUUGAAGGUGGUUCUCAUUGUAUUGACAUAUUUUCUGCCUCCAUGUAACUUAAAAAGGAACAACAAACAGUCAAACUAACAGAGUAAUGAAGUGUAUAAAAAUUUAUCAAUUGCAGUAAAAAGAGAUGAUCCUGACCUGCAAUCGGAUAAGUUACAUUUAUACGCAACGACAAACUACACAAAGUUUCAAGCCAAUUUGUCAUUGAUCUUCUAGAAUCUUUUUAUUUUCUAUUUCGUUUUCUGUGAGUUCAAACUGAGCCAUUGAUCACUUUGAAAGAUCAGGAAAGGAAAAGAGGAAAAGAAAAAUUAGAAUGUGCUCUCCCACAAUGAGGCAGGGACAGAGUGAUAGGACUGCUCAGCUUGGAGCAUUUCUUUAAUGCGUGACUCUUUGAAGUUCAAACUGAAAGUAGCCUCUGUGACUCCUUCACAACAUAUAGCUUUUAUUUCUUCUCUUCAAAUCCUUAGGACAGCAAAUUUCUUCACAUAAUGACAUGAUCAGAAAAGUAGGUACAAAGUCUGUUAAUGUAACAAAUUCAGAAACUUUUUUAGUGCAUUUUCUUCCAAAUCAAAUUAUGUUAUUCAUAGUUACAGAACAACUUUACCAGGUGUAUAAAUACAUCUUUCCUAUUAGCUAUCACUUAAGGAGGAAAGAUGGCACUUCAGCCCAGAUUAUUGAGACAGUAAUCCCUCCUUUAAAACACUACAACCAAGUCCUUCGUUUUAGUAAUCUAACUUUGUCUGCUUCUUGAAUAAUAUAAAGGUUGAAAUUACUUGCCUGCAUGGUUCAAAGUCGCGGUCGCGGUCGCGGUCGCGGCUUGGAACGUUCCACAUCGGUCUCGGCAUAUCGGUCACGGUCUCGGUGAGACGCAAAUUUUAAAGAAUUUAAUAUUCUAAAAAUUGUUAAUAAUAUAAAAAAAGUAUGCUAAACAAAAAUAAUAAAAAAUAGCCAAAGCAAUGCCCGAAUCAAUCCGUCGCGGUGUAACUCGGCCGAUUUCUCGUCUUGACUCGGGAUAACUCGGAGUAACUCGGUGUGACUCGGCCGAGUCAAUCCGUCGCGGUGACGUCUCGGCCGAUUUCUCGGCGAGAUGAGUAUCUCGGUCUCGAUUCGUCGCGGUCUCGUCUCGGACUAGGCCGAGACGGUGACGACUCGGCCGAGUCGUCUCGGUCUCGGCCGAGUCUUCGAACCAUGCUUGCCUGAUGAACCUGAUUUCACUGCAAGUCAAAAGCUAGCAACUAGAUAAAUACAUACAUCAAAGUGAUUUCCCAAGUGGGAUUUUCCUAAAAAAUCAGCUUCUUAAUCCAAAUUCAGAAAUUUUCAACAGUGAACACAAGCUGAUCGUUUCCUUCAUAAAAAAAAAAGGUUCAAAACUAUAUAGCCUGACAGAAAUAUAGGAAGAGAAAUUCUAGUACUAAAUAUAUACAGAUAUAUUACCUGUGAGAGAGCUGGAAAGGUCCCAUUUGAUAGGGAGUCAGCAAAGGGAUUGUUUGCUCCUCCGGUCUAUCAUCUGCCUUCUUUUCCAUUUCUGUUUACUAUCUCUAAAUCUCAAGUGUUCUUGGUCUUUGAUCUCAAAGGACCAUGCAACUGAGUGAGCCAGUGUGGGAGCUGAAAAAAAGAUUUGGUUAUUCUGGCAACUGCAGGCACCAGUAUCCACUAUCCAUCAUGUAGCUGAUCAUAGCCUAAUUUGUCUAGUCACCUAUACAAUUAUUAAUUAUACCAGUGGAUUAGAAUAAAGUACAAAGAAAAAAAAAGUACAAAGAACCUUUUACUUUCCAAAUUACGUGUUCCACUGAAACUUCACACUGAAUUUUACUUUAUGUACACAUAAUAUUGCCAAUUUGUCUUGUCUUUGUACAACAUGUUUUGGGUCUAUUUUAUGCUUUGUGUGCAAAAAGAGAUCGAAACUAAAUGGAAGAAGACGUGUGUUUCAACCUAGUACAUACAAGAAGAUUAAUCUAACUAUUUAUUACACUUUUUUCCAUUUUUAAGAGUAUCACCUGUGAUAUACUUUUGUUUUUUUAAUAAGCGUGAGUUUUUUAAUCCAAACUUCCUACUUAUAAUUUAUUCCAUCUUACCACGCAAUCAUCCCUCAAGUAUCAAUUGUGAUAAUUGUGAGAUUCCACUCGUAUGACCCUCUCAUCACAAAUGAAAAUAUUUUUACCAACUAAAUUGCAUUUCAUUGUCAAAUAUUUAAAUUGAAGAUUGACUCAAAUACUUUCCUUUCUAACAAGAAGAAAAACUGAAAACUCUACAAUCUUGUGGUGUGUUUGGAUAGGAGAUUAUUUCAAAAAAAUUAUUUAGAAUAAUACAGUAACACUUUUUAUGAUGUGAUUUAUGAGAGAUAAAAAUAAUGAUUAGGAAUGUAUUUAUAAUGCAUGCAAGAUAAUAUUUAAAAAAAUUUUCCCCAAAUUUAUGUCUUGUUAUAUAAGACUAUUAUUUUUUAGGUGAUACGCUUCUUGACUUUCUUGCAUUUUGCUACACUUUUCCGUUGACGCCAAAGGGCAAAGGUCCGCCGGGCGGCAUAAAUUUAUUAGUUAUUGUCCUCUCUUUACGUCCAUGUUCAUGGCUCUAACAAGAAAAAGAGAUCCCAGUACAUUAAAAGCAACAAAAGGGUAAUUUUCUAUUAAGACCCUCAUGUUCAUUAGAAAAUUUAAAUUUGAUCUUUCAGUUUUAGAUCUUUAUUUAAAAUUUUUUUUUUUCUAAUAGGGGAGAGAUAAAAUUUAAGAAACGGAAAGAGAGAAGGAAAAUAAGAUUUCUACCUCCUUAUUUAUGAUGUUAUGUCGCUUUUACUGCUCUUAUUUGUAUAUUAGUAAUUUUAACCUUUUUUGUAUUGGUACUUGGUGAUUUAGUUGUUUGAGGAAAACAUAAUUUCAUAGCAUAGAAGUCAUAGAAAUAAAAGUGCACAAUAUAUCAAUAGUGGGAUAUAAGGGGCUAAAUUUGAUUAAGUAUACUUUACAAGGACUAAAAUGGUAAAUGAGAAAUAAAAGAGACUAAAUUAUGUUAUGAUUAAUGUUAUUUCAUAGACGUAAAAAGGAACAAUAUUAAUUCAGUAGUCCCAUUAAGAAUUUGUUAAGGCUCAGGUCAAUAGAUUAGGAGGGAUUUCUUUUUUGUUUUUUUUUGGGGACAAACCCAAUGAGACCAUUGGCCUAAGAAAUUAUUAAAGCUUAGGUUGACAAAUUAGGAGGGAUUUAUUGGCCAUUAGAAUUUAGAGGGGACUAAAAUCAGUUGGGAAACCAAGAAUUGUUGGCAUUUCAUGGUGGUAAGGAGAUUUGAUUUCGCAACCAGCACCCGGAGGGGGACUUAAAGAGUCCCUCCUGGUGGUUGCUGGACCAAUGGUCCGAUUAUCUAAACAUUGUGGGCAGAGUCCCCUCUUUUGAGAGUGUUUUCUAUUCUAAUUUGUUUAAAUAGUUUCAGUUACUUUUCAGGAUGAUUAUUGUAAAAGCUGUUUAAGAUUCCAAUUCCAACAAGAUCUAAUCAUUGCUUUGGCCGUUGAGACUCGUAUAACUGAGAAAGAGAGACAGAUAAAUUCAUAAUGCAAUCGACAAAUAGUAGUAUCAAGUUACAAUUGUACCAAAUGCUUAAAUUAGCAGUCCCGCAGUACAAAUUGCACCUAAAAAAGACCUUAACAUGGUUUCAGUGGUCCUGCAAUACAAUGUUGUUGUCUUUUCGUACCCUUUCCAGAUUUCAUGCAAUGGUUUCAAGAAAUGGAUAGUCAGUGUAGCCAACAACAGGAUCAGGUAUGUAGAAAGUGGCUCUGUUGUACUUGUUCAGAGGAGCAUUUAACUCGAAUCGUUUUGGCAAAUCUGGAUUGGCCAGGAACAAACGUCCAUAAGCAACAAGAUCAGCAUUAUCUUUGGCCACUGCUUCGCUGCCAUCUUCCCUACCAUAGCCACCAGCAACGAUGAAAGUGCCUUUGAAUGCAUUCCUCAUUGGCAGAAGAGUAUCUGCACAUUCGAAUUUUUCCCCCACAGUUUUCAUCCUUGGCUCCACCAUGUGACAGUACAGAAUUCCAUAUUUAUUCAACGCUUCAGCCAUGUAGAGACCUAGUGCUGCUGGAUUUGAGUCUCCUGAUUCCAUGUAAUCUGCAAACGGGGAGAGCCUGAGGCCAACUCUAUCAGCUCCUAUCGCAUUGGAGACAGCUUCAACGAUUUCCAGAGCAAAUCUGCAACGGUUCUCCAAUGAGCCUCCGUAUUCAUCUGUUCUGUCAUUGAUUUGGUCUUUCAGAAACUGUUCUACAAUAUAACCAUGAGCUCCAUGGAUCUCUACCCCAUCAAAACCUGCAAAUACGAACAGACUGCAUCAGCAUUCACUUAUCUUCUGCUCGUUCUCCCUCCUAUAUCGUGUCUCUCGCAUGUUUAACUGUAGUCUGCUUCUACAUUAAAGAUCUAUAAAGAUAUGACCUGAAUUUCCAUGGCCGAGAAGUUGACUUCAAAAUUUCCUAGGCACGACUUCAACAUGUACUCCUAGUCAAUGACCUUAGACAUGCAAAAUAUUUUAGAACAAGAAAUGCAAGCUAGGUCACCCCAACAGCAGUUUGAGAUGGAAGUUUCAAGUAAGUACUAUUUCAAAUCUAGGAAAACAAAAGGGUUGUAAUAAGAAAACAAGUAAAUCAAAAACAAGAGAAUUGAUGAUGAAGUUCUAGGAAAAUUGCAAAGAUACAAAAUGAGGGGAAUCUGAUAACACUAAGUGAAUUCAAGGCGUGUAAUCACUUUUCUUGAAGUUUGAUUGCCCCCACUAUCUUGCUAAUCAGGUAUUGGGUAAAAACUCUAGAAUACAAUGAAUUCGAGAAGACAACCAAAUAACAAGUUCUUGGAUUGUCUUGACAAGAAUUAGAAUGCUGAAAAAUCAGUUAGUUUUUUUCUUUUAUUGAAGCAGUUAUUUAUUUUGCUAUAACACCCAGAAAAAUGUUCAUGUUAAUAGGCAUGAAUUGACAGUGCCACCUUUCAGAAAAUUCACAUGAAAAGGUGCCAAACAAAUUUGCAGAAAAUUCACAGGCAAUCUUUUAGAAAAUUCACAUGAAAAGGUGCCAAAUGAAUUUGCAGAAAAUGACCAUUACAGGGAUCCAAAUUCGCAUCUUAAUCGAUUGCACACUUCAACUUUUUUCAUUCGCAUCUUCAACUAAGCGGGGGAAUGUUGCAAAUAGUUUGUAAUAUAAUUCCAAAACUAACAUCGAAGAGGUCAUACAUAAAAUGAAGGUAAUUUUCAUUUCAACUUUCUUCAUAAUGUUCAUAUAUCACAUAUCUAAGUUAAGUCAAUGGUCACUAGGUUGCUUAAACCAAGACUCAACAAAGAAAGAAAUAUUACACAUAUGGACUUUCAAAGCAUUCAUAAAUUCACACUUAGUUUUGGCACUAUACAGACCAUGUGCUCAUCUUAAUUGAUGAUCAUAUACAAAGAUUAUCCCAAACUUUGUUAGAAGCGGAAUCAGUUCUAUCAUCAUAUAGGUAAACUAUAUUUCUAACUUUAAUACAUAAAGCACUAAGAAACAUGUUUAUUAAGAGAAGCUUCACAUCCUACUCACUUGAGAGUAACAAUUGGUACUAUUCCUUGGAAUAAUCUACACCUAAAUUGUAGGCUAAUUCCUUAGAUUAUAGAUGAGAAAAAGAAAAAUCGGACAAUUGUAGAUUUGACAAGGGGGUUUUGCAAAACUAUAGCUAUCGUGCUGAAUCAGCACGGCAGGAAGAAGUAAUAUAUAUAUAUAUAUAUAUAAAGUUAGAUGCUGCUAAAAAAAAAAAGCCUGCAAAUCUUGUCCCUCCCGGGCUAACUUGGCCUGGCAAGGGUGAUCCUUAAAAUAAAGGCAACCUAAAGCCUUUUUUAUAUAUAAAACUGCCUCCUGCUGGGCUGUGUUUUGAAACUCGGACCGGAUCGGCCGAUUCAACCGGUUGAAUCGGAAAUCGGGUAGGCAUCUGGUCAGAGUUGCUUUAAAAAACCAGGAAACAAACACUCGGUCAAAAUUCGGGUUUGACCGAACCGCUUCAACUGGAAUCUGAGGUCUAAAGAAGAGAUGGUAUGGGGACCACUUAAAAACUAAAGCCACGGGACGAUGGGACAUGUGCUGUACAUAAUUGCUGCCAAGAAUUAACAUCUCUGUCUUGUGUGCCGUUUCUGACCUUUGACCGUUGUUGUAUUCGGAGCUUUUUUAAUUUUUCCUUUUUUACGUGUUUUACCCUUUUUGUUUUCCUUUUUUUAUUCUUUUUUUAAUUACUCUCAAAUCUCUUCACAUAACCUACCAUAAAUCUCUCUCAAACAACUCCAAUGGAAGAUCUAAGUUCAAAAAGGGAUAAAACAUUAAAAAAAGAAAAUAAAAUUUCACCUAGAAAUAUUUUAUUAAUUUUAUGAUUUGACCCUUAGAGUACUAGAAAACUAUUAUUACACCUAAAAAGAUUUUAAAACUUAUAGCUAUAGCCCUAAAUUCUUGUAUUACUUGUCAAAUAAGCCCUCCAAUUUGGUUCUAAACCUGUUGAAUAUGCACUAAAUUAUAAAUUGUAUAAAUUGCUACUUAAUUAUACUACCUUAUUUGUAUUAUCUUGUAAAGUAUCUUAGAAAUAUCAAAUAUAUAUUGAACAUGCAUUUCUUAGUAUUAAUAUAUUUUUAUAAAAUUUACAAAAUAUAUUAAUUUUUAAAAUUAAAUAUAUUUAUGACGUCAUCCGGUUCUUGAGCGGGUUUGACCUCGGUCGAAUCCAUUGACACCUGACCCCUGACCUCGACCGAGUCGAUGGCCGGUCCGAGUUUCAAAACAUAGCCGCUGGGCUGAGUAAGCCCGGUAGGGGGUGAUUGUUUUAUAAAAAAAGUGUUAAUUAUACUUUGCCCCUUCAACUUGGAUCUUUGUAACACUUUGUCUCCUUAUACUCCAAACAUAGACACUUUAUCUCUUGUGGUCAACUCUUUGAUGGAGUUAAGAUGAAAUAAUAUUUUUUAUGACCAAAAUAUCCCCGAUUAAUUCUUAAACACAUAUAAUAAUUGUAACAUAAUAAAUAGCUAUUUCUUUAAUAUUUGCUAAAUGUAUUUAAAUACAAUUACAUUAUGCAUUUUGAUCUUUUUAUUUAAAAGAAGUAUUGCUACGAAAUUGAGAUAAACUCAUUGAGUUGCUUAGACUUUUUUUUAUGAAUUAUUUAAUUCAUUUUAUUGCUAAAAGAUCAAAAUGUAUAGUGUAAAAAAUAUUAUUUCAUCUUAACCCAUCAAAAAGUUGAUUACAAGAGAUAUAGUGUAUAUGUUUGGAGUUUAGGGGGACAAAGUGUUACAAAAUCCAAGUAGAAGAGAGCAAAGUAUAAUUAACCUUUUUUUUUAUAAAACAAUCACCCCCUGCCGGGCUCGCUCAGCCCAAUAGGAGUCAACUUUCUAUAUAUAUAAAACCUUUAGGUUGUCAUUUUUUUUUAAGGAUCACCCUUGCCGGGCCAAGUCAGCCCGGCAGGGGACAAGAUUUGCAGGCUUUUUUUUUUUUUUACAGCAUCUAACUUUAUAAAAAAAAAUUGCUUCUUCCUGCCGUGCUAACAGCUAUAGUUUUGCAAAACCCCCUUGUCAGACCUACAAUUGUCCGAUUUUCCUUUUUUUUUCAUCUAUAAUCUAAGGAUUAGCCUAAAUUGUACGGCUCACUACCACUUAAAACAAUUUGUUUUUACCCUUUAAACCUUUCAAACUAGAGGUAGUACUAGAAGAAGGUUGGGUUACCAUUGCUAAGUGAUUUUAGUCUAAAAGUUUUAAUCUCAUUCCAGAUAUUGUCAUAUUUACCAACUCUCUUACUAAAGGAUUGGUCAACGAAUGCACUAAGUUUUUGUGUGUCCUUACAAACACAAUACUAACAACAUCGUUUGCAAGCAUUUCUUUAAUAAAUGCAUAUCUCAAGCUUAUAUGUCUAGACUUGCCAUUGUAAACCUUGUUCAACACUCUAGACACAGUAGAUUCACUAUCACAAAAGAUAUUAUUAGAGGCAUUGGUUUAGGCCAAAAAUCAAUUUCAAGUAAAAGAUCCCUUAGCCACCCAACCUCUUUACAAGUUGAAGAUAACGUAAUAAGUUCAGCUUUCAUGGUUGCAUGAGUUAACACUAUUUGGUUCUUUGAAACCCAUGAGAUAGCUCUGCCACCAAGUAAGAAUAUCCAACCACUUGUAGGUUUUUGAUCACUAAUGCUAGUAAUCCAACUAGCAUCUAAAAAUCCCUCAAGAACACUAGGAAAACUAUUAUAAAAGAGUCCAAUAUUCUUGAUUUUUUUAAAGAUAACCAAGUUCUCUACCAAUGGCUUUUCAAUGAUCUAUUCCUGAAUUUUUAGUGUAUCUAACAAGUCUACAAACUAAUUAUGAAAUAUAUGCUCUAAUGCAACUCAUUGCAUACAUAAGACUACCAAUUACACUGACAUAUUCCAGCUGAGCAAUUUGUUUACCGGUAUUUUCAUAUAAUUUAAAGUUAGGAUCAAAGGGAGUCUCAAUUUCCUUCACAUUUAGGUGCUGAUAUUUCUUUAAUAUCUUUUCCACAUAAUGUGAUUGUGAUAAGGCAAAACUCGGACUAUGUCUCUUAACUUUAAUUUCUAAGAUAGUAUCUAUUUCAUCAAGAUUUUUCAUCUUGAAUUUAGAAGAUAAAUAUUUCUCUUUCAUCUUGAACUUAGAAGAUAAAUAUUUCUUAGUCUCUACUACACCUUUAUUCAUAGUACUAACAUUGAGCAUAUUAUCCACAUAAAGACAAAUGAUCACACCAUACUCACUAUUAAAUUUAUUAUAAAUGCACUAAUCAGCAUUAUUGUACCUAAAUCAAAUAGAGAGUAAAAUAGAUUCAAAUUUCUCAUAUCAUUGUUUCGGAGCUUGUUUUAAGUCAUACAAAGAUUUGACUAAUUUACACACUUUAUAUUCAUUACCCAACAACAUAAAGCCAUCCGGUUGUUCCAUAUACACCUCCUAAUGUAAGUCACCAUUUAAAAAAGAUAUUUUAACAUCCAUUUGAUGUACAUAAGGCUAAAUACAGAACCUAAACCUAGAAGCACCCGAACAGAAGUAAUUCUAGCUACAAGUGCAUAUGCAUCAAAAUAGUCUAUUCCUUUUACCUAUAACCUUUAACUACUAACCUAACUUUGUUUGAUGAAAGGGUUGUAAUAAGACAACAAGGAAGUCAAAAACAAAAGAAUUGAUGAUGAAGUUCUAGAAAAAAUUGCAAAGAUACAAAAUGAAGGGAAUUUGAUAACACUAAGGGUACGUUUGGUUCUAUAGAAUUAGAAUUGAAUUAGAAUCAAAAUUCUAUAGAAUUGGAAUUCUAUGAAUUGGAAUUCCAAGUCAUUUCAAUUCUUUCGUUUGGAAAAUGCAUAGAAUUGAUACGGAAUUUAUUUGGAAUUCCAAAUUCUUUGUUUGCAUGAGAGAAGAAUUCAUUAGGAAUUAGAAUUGUUUUCAAGAAAAUUGCUUACAUAAAAUUUUUCUUUUUUUUUCUAUAUAAUAAUUUCUUUUUUUCUUACAUUUAGCUAAUUUUUACUAAAGAUUUAAAAGAAAAAAUCAAUUUGUGCCUUUAAUAAUUUAUUUUUUCUCACUCUCAUAUCAAUUUCUUUGGUGAGCAUUUCCUUUAGCAUGUUUUGAUCCAUUAUCCCUUUUUGUGAAGAAAUAUUUCCCCAUCUCAGCCGUGGUAUUUUCAACUGUGUUUUGAUAUAUAUUUAAUAAAGCAAAAUUCUUUCUUAUUUCUAAUACUUAUGCAAAAUUCAAAAAAGAUUUCAUCCAUCAUAAUAGCUAUGCACAACUAAAACUCAAACUCCUCCAUUAAGUACCAAUGGCAUGAUAAAACUAUGAGAGAGGAAAAGUUUGAAGCAAUUUUUCACUCAUGUGACAAUAACUACAAAAUCAAGAAGCAAUAUUUCAUGAAAGAAAAAGAUAAGAAAACAAUCAGUUACAAAUAAAUCCUUCAUAUGUAACAAAAACUCUUGAUCAAAUGCUUCAACUGUAUAAACCCAGUUUUGGGAUGUUUCAUUCCACUAGUAUUGAAAGGUGACACGCUGCCACUUUGUCCUGGACUCUCUUCUCUAACAGCAAUCUUC
rnacentral:lncRNA from 1 species